CAAAUAGGGCGGCACCUUGACGGUACCUAACCAGAAAGCCACGGCUAACUACGUGCCAGCAGCCGCGGUAAUACGUAGGUGGCAAGCGUUGUCCGGAAUUAUUGGGCGUAAAGGGCUCGCAGGCGGUUUCUUAAGUCUGAUGUGAAAGCCCCCGGCUCAACCGGGGAGGGUCAUUGGAAACUGGGGAACUUGAGUGCAGAAGAGGAGAGUGGAAUUCCACGUGUAGCGGUGAAAUGCGUAGAGAUGUGGAGGAACACCAGUGGCGAAGGCGACUCUCUGGUCUGUAACUGACGCUGAGGAGCGAAAGCGUGGGGAGCGAACAGGAUUAGAUACCCUGGUAGUCCACGCCGUAAACGAUGAGUGCUAAGUGUUAGGGGGUUUCCGCCCCUUAGUGCUGCAGCUAACGCAUUAAGCACUCCGCCUGGGGAGUACGGUCGCAAGACUGAAACUCAAAGGAAUUGACGGGGGCCCGCACAAGCGGUGGAGCAUGUGGUUUAAUUCGAAGCAACGCGAAGAACCUUACCAGGUCUUGACAUCCUCUGACAAUCCUAGAGAUAGGACGUCCCCUUCGGGGGCAGAGUGACAGGUGGUGCAUGGUUGUCGUCAGCUCGUGUCGUGAGAUGUUGGGUUAAGUCCCGCAACGAGCGCAACCCUUGAUCUUAGUUGCCAGCAUUCAGUUGGGCACUCUAAGGUGACUGCCGGUGACAAACCGGAGGAAGGUGGGGAUGACGUCAAAUCAUCAUGCCCCUUAUGACCUGGGC
rnacentral:rRNA from 1 species